AGUGUUGAUGCUGGGUUCAAGGUAAUUAUUUGGAGGUCUAUUUGGCUGAAAUUGAUGAAUGUCUCCUUGAAAUAUGAGCAGAAUUUUACUUUAUUUCUAUUUUGGUUCAGAGCAAGAUUGAUAAGAUUUUGAAACUUGAAAACUAUUUCUGUUGUUUCCCUAGUGAAAUAAAAUAUUAAUUAUUGUAGGCUCGAUUUUCUUUUGCUUGAG
rnacentral:misc_RNA from 1 species